UUACCCAAUCCCGAUUCGGGGAGGUAGUGACAAUAAAUAACAAUACAGGGCCAACGGCCUUGUUAUUGGAAUGAGAACAAUUUAAAUAACUUAACGAGGAUCAAUUAGAGGGCAAGUCUGGUGCCAGCAGCCGCGGUAAUUCCAGCUCUAAUAGCGUAUAUUAAAGUUGUUGCAGUUAAAAAGCUCGUAGUCGGAUGUCGGGCUCGGGCAAGCUGUCGGCCUUUGGUCGGACGGCAGGCUCGGGUCUUUCUGCCUGAGGAACCCGGUUGCUUUAACGAGCUGCCGGUGGACGCAGGUCGUUUACUUUGAAAAAAUUAGAGUGUUCAAAGCAGGCUAGCGCUUGAAUACAUUAGCAUGGAAUAAUGGAAUAGGACUUUGGUGCUAUUUUGUUGGUUUAUGGGACCGAAGUAAUGAUUAACAGGGACAGUUGGGGCCGUUUAUAUUUCGUUGUCAGAGGUGAAAUUCUUGGAUUUACGAAAGAUAAACUUCUGCGAAAGCAUUCGGCAAGGAUGUUUUCAUUGAUCAAGAACGAAAGUUAGGGGAUCGAAGACGAUCAGAUACCGUCGUAGUCUUAACCAUAAACUAUGCCGACUAGGGAUCAGUGGAUGUCAAUUUGCGACUCCAUUGGCACCUUGUGAGAAAUCAAAGUUUUUGGGUUCCGGGGGGAGUAUGGUCGCAAGGCUGAAACUUAAAGGAAUUGACGGAAGGGCACCACCAGGAGUGGAGCCUGCGGCUUAAUUUGACUCAACACGGGGAAACUUACCAGGUCCAGACAUAGUAAGGAUUGACAGAUUGAAAGCUCUUUCUUGAUUCUAUGGGUGGU
rnacentral:rRNA from 1 species